UACGUAGGGUCCGAGCGUUGUCCGGAAUUAUUGGGCGUAAAGGGCUCGUAGGCGGUUCGUCACGUCGGGAGUGAAAACUCGGAGCUUAACUCCGAGCCUGCUUCCGAUACGGGCAGACUAGAGGUAGGCAGGGGAGAGCGGAACUCUUGGUGUAGCGGUGGAAUGCGCAGAUAUCAGGAAGAACACCGGUGGCGAAGGCGGCUCUCUGGGCCUUACCUGACGCUGAGGAGCGAAAGCGUGGGUAGCGAACAGG
rnacentral:rRNA from 1 species